rnacentral:tRNA from 1 species
AUUAGUUAGUUGGCUGAAUGUUCAGCAUGUAUCUUGAAAAUACAAUAUAAAGGUUAAAUUCCUUUACUAAUUU